AGAAGCAUAACUCAUUUAAAAUUCCAUCCAGCUUUCCAGGAAGGUAAAUUGUAAUUUUUAAAGGAAUGACAUUCUGUAUAUCUUGAUAGGAUGUGUUUUUAAAUGUAUUUAAUCAAGGAGAAUCAUUCUACUUCCAGACAGUCACAAGCACAGUUUUUCUCUGAUAAAUGUGUUCAGUAACUCACAUUAACUAUGAACACCUAUACACAGCAAAUGCCUAGCAGGUCACAAAAGAUGGACUAGUCAUUUUUACCACAAUGGUCACAACAAACACCAAAUAAUUGCUCAGAAAUAAUAGAAACAGCAAUGAGUUGUACAAUGAAAGCAUCCUUUACCAAUGCACUCAUUUGUUUGCACCAAAUGAGGAACGGUGGAAUGUGAUUGGAUAAGCAAUGCCUGCCUGACUGUCUAGGUACACAGUGACUUCCAUGUUUGUAUAUGCCUGACUGUCUAGGUACACAGUGACGUCCAUGUUUGUAUAUGUCUGACUGUCUAGGUACACAGUGACGGCCCAUGUUUGUAUAUGCUUGACUGUCUAGGUACACAGUGACGGCCCAUGUUUGUAUAUGCCUGACUGUCUAGGUACACAGUGACGGCCCAUGUUUGUAUAUGCCUGACUGUCCAGGUACACAGUGACGGCCCAUGUUUGUAUAUGCCUGACUGUCUAGGUACACAGUGACGGCCCAUGUUUGUAUAUGCCUGACUGUCUAGGUACACAGUGACGGCCCAUGUUUGUAUAUGCCUGACUGUCUAGGUUCAAAGACUUUUAUGUUUAGAGUAUUCAUUGUGAGUUGAGCUGAUCCUAAAGUAGCAAUAGACGACCAUUAGUGGAGUUUUACUAUUCUAAAACCCUUUUUAAACUUCAAAUUUUAACUAUGUAUAUACUGUACUUUUAAAAUGUGUAGAGAUGUUUUUUUUAAAAAUAUUUAUUGAGCCAGUAGUUCUGAAAGUAGCGCUCAUGAGACAAAACUGGUCCUCGAAAAUUGCGUACUACGACACGUGCAGGUAUGUGCAUCACAUCUUAGCUUUCUCUUUUGCUCUGCUUUGUGUGUAUCUUGCUAGCUGUCACUCAAACGGCGAGGGGCUGAAGCUCAUUGGCUUGAACUUGAAUUGCUAGGGGGCUGACCCAUGUGGGAGAAAAUUUAGGGAAAAUGGCACCUCUCACCUUCCAGCUUUCAAACUAGAGAUUCCGUGGCUAAUUUGAGGUUAGACAGUAAUUAUUCUCAUAGAUUCUGCAUGUAUGAUUUACAUGUUGACACAUGCAGCCCAAAGUGGGAGGUUUAAUAAAUACUUACUAGUCACCAAUGUUCUUGAGCAUGUCUUUGAAUUGAAUAAUAAUCUGCGUUAACUCAUUAUAUAUCACCAGUAGCCCAGCCAUGUGCUAGAAAUAUUUGUAAACAACUUAAACAAGUGUAAUAUAUUGCAGAUUAUGGAUUUAAAAAAGAUUGUUGUUUAGUCAAUGUGGAGUCUUUACUGAAAAGGAUAAGAGUAAAUGGCAACAAUAAUGAUUAUUUUUCCUAAAAAGUCUUAAAUCCAACUUUUUACAUUUUGUGAGUACAGUGAAGUGUGAUUUGAGUGAGCUGCCAGUGAUUUGGAAAGCUGUACCAUACAAGUUAUUCUACUUAAAGACCCCUGCUACCUGUUUUUAUUUGACUGCAUGUUUUUUAAACACUUAUGUACGUCUCUCUUAUUUUAUUAUACAAAAAAAAAGUUUUUUAUAUGGGGAACUGAUUUGUCGACGACUUCUUGUCUUACUCAGUGUUCAGGCUGUUGAAGGAUGAUUGGUUACACUGUCUUUGUAGAUACUCAACCAGAUAGCAUUGACCCUCGUUUCCAAGCAUGUUUAUUUGUUCUGUACAGUUUGCACUGCCAUGCCAGUUCUCCGCAAAACUUUAGGAACAAUAUUGAAGUAAAAACCAGAUGUAAUUAUGAAC
ensembl:lncRNA